rnacentral:rRNA from 1 species
GACCGUGCGAAGGUAGCGUAAUCACUUGUCUUUUAAAUGAAGACCUGUAUGAAAGGCAUCACGAGAUUUUACCUGUCUCCCUUCUUCAAUCAGUGAAAUUGAUCUCCCCGUGCAGAAGCGGGCAUAAAGACAUAAGACGAGAAGACCCUAUGGAGCUUUAAAUAAUAUAUUAAUAAAAUGAAUUUACAACCCUCAGGGGAAAAGAAAUGGACUUAGCAUAAUAAAAUUAUUUUUGGUUGGGGCAACCACGGGGUAUAACACAACCCCCAUAUCGAUUGGGCAGAAAUGCCUAAAAAAUAGAACGACAGUUCUGUUUAAUAAAAUAUUUAACGAGCAACGAUCCAGAUAUAUCUGAUUAAUGAACCAAGUUACCCUAGGGAUAACAGCGCAAUCCUUUUCCAGAGUCCCUAUCGACGAAAGGGUUUACGACCUCGAUGUUGGAUCAGGACAUCCUAAUGGUGCAACCGC